UACGUAGGGAGCAAGCGUUGUCCGGAAUCAUUGGGCGUAAAGCGCGCGUAGGUGGCCCCAUAAGUCCGCUGUGAAAGUCAAAGGCUCAACCUUUGAAAGCCGGUGGAUACUGUGGGACUAGAGUACGGAAGAGGCGAGUGGAAUUCCUGGUGUAGCGGUGGAAUGCGCAGAUAUCAGGAGGAACACCAAUAGCGAAGGCAGCUCGCUGGGACGUUACUGACACUGAGGCGCGAAAAGCGUGGGGAGCGA
rnacentral:rRNA from 1 species